AUUAGUUUUUUAAUUGAAGGCUAGAAUGAAUGGUUGGACAAGAAAUAAUCUGUCUUAAUUAAAUAAAUUGAAUUUAACUUUUAAGUGAAAAGGCUUAAAUAAUCUAAAGGGACGAUAAGACCCUAUAAAACUUUAUAUUUAAUAAUAGUAAUUAAUUUUAUUUUAAGAGUAUUAUUUAAAAAUAUUUGGUUGGGGUGACAAGGAUAAAAUAUAAAAUAACUGUCUUUUUUUAUUACAAUAAUAUUUGGUUUAAUGAUCCUGAAAUGGAUUAAAGAUUAAGUUACUUUAGGGAUAACAGCGUAAUUUUCUUUAAGAGUUCUUAUCGACAAGAAAGUUUGCGACCUCGAUG
rnacentral:rRNA from 1 species